rnacentral:rRNA from 1 species
UGCGCAGGCGGUUUUGUAAGACAGAGGUGAAAUCCCCGGGCUCAACCUGGGAACUGCCUUUGUGACUGCAAGGCUGGAGUGCGGCAGAGGGGGAUGGAAUUCCGCGUGUAGCAGUGAAAUGCGUAGAUAUGCGGAGGAACACCGAUGGCGAAGGCAAUCCCCUGGGCCUGCACUGACGCUCAUGCAUGAAAGCUGGGAGCAAACA